UCCAGACUCCUACGGGAGGCAGCAGUGGGGAAUAUUGCACAAUGGGGGGAACCCUGAUGCAGCGACGCCGCGUGAGUGAAGAAGUAUUUCGGUAUGUAAAGCUCUAUCAGCAGGGAAGAAAAUGACGGUACCUGACUAAGAAGCCCCGGCUAACUACGUGCCAGCAGCCGCGGUAAUACGUAGGGGGCAAGCGUUAUCCGGAUUUACUGGGUGUAAAGGGAGCGUAGACGGCAGAGCAAGUCUGAAGUGAAAUCCCGCGGCCCAACUGCGGGACUGCUUUGGAAACUGCCCGGCUAGAGUGCUGGAGAGGUAAGCGGAAUUCCUAGUGUAGCGGUGAAAUGCGUAGAUAUUAGGAGGAACACCAGUGGCGAAGGCGGCGUACUGGACAGUAACUGACGUUGAGGCUCGAAAGCGUGGGGAGCAAACAGGAUUAGAUACCCGCGUACAA
rnacentral:rRNA from 1 species